ensembl:processed_transcript predicted gene 20544
GUUACCGCCACCCUCUCCCAGGUCUAGAGAGGGGUACCCACGGCGGAGGGAGGUGGGAGGCCGAGACGGCCCCGGGGGUCGGCGGAAACCCAGCGGGAGCAGGGGGAAAUCGGAAGAGCUGGGGGCAUGGAGCGGGCGAGUUUGGAGCGGAAUGAGCCGGGAGCCCUGCGUUGUGGAAGGAAGACAACAGUAUAGGACCAUCAGCAGGACCGGACAGAGAGGGGCACGUAAGCAGUAAUUACUGGAUGGCAUAGUAAUUCUCCUAAAAAUUAAAAUGCCGCUUAUUGGAAUGGUGUGUGAACACUCUAAAGCAACCCGGGAAGAAGACAGCAGUCAAGAAGACCAAGGAAGGAAAUGGAGGAGGGAUGACCCCACCAUUACAGGCAGGGAAGGACAGAAAUGCAGUCUAAGAAAUGUGUCAUCUUAGAAAGGAACGGGAAGGGGCUGGAGAGGUGGCUCAGAAGUAAAGAGCAGUGGAUGCUCUUUCAGGGGACCUGAGUUGGCCUCCUAACGUCUUCAGCUACCUCCUAACUGCAUGCAGCUCCAGCGUGUAACUCCGGCACUGCGAUCGCGCGCACACACACACACACAAGUUAAUCUUAGAAAAGCAUAGGAAGCCUGGUUUUUUUG